CAGUUACCAUUUAUUUGCAAGACUCACGAGGAAGAGAGGAAGUAAAUGCGAAAAUAUUCAAGUCUUGGGAAUUUUAACAAAAAUUGAGUUUGGGGAACUAUUCCAGAGUAUUUCCAUCCCUAAAUUCAUCUGGAAACAUUCAUUAGAGAGGAAUUUAACUGUAGGAAGCGUAGAGAGAGGAAUCAAGUGAGUGGAAAGUGAUUCAAGCUUUCAAGUUGGGUUUCUCACCAUUUGGAGUAAGAUUUCUAUCAUUUUAUCUUUAUUUGAAUUGGAUUUCUUGGGAAUGAAGCUGAUUUAAAGAUUAUUAUACUUUAUUUAUAAUCAGGGUUUCUGACAAAUUGGCAAAGUUGGUCUCAUGCUAAUUUUUGUAAUUGGUGCUAUUUUAGGUGCACAAGGGCACCAACAAGGCAUUGUAGAGCCGGAGACACGAAGCCCUUGCAAUUUUUCCGAUUCAGUAUAUAAUUAUGUUUAGGUACUUUAUGGUUAGUAAUGAGAUUGUUGAUAAUGUGGAUGAUUUAUUAGUAUUAUAAGAUAUGGAAACUUAAUUAUUGAGGUGGAGGAUGGAAUUUUGAGCAUAAGUUGUAAUUUAUGGCUUUGAGGAUGUUAUAUUAAUUUUCAACUUACAAGUAUGGUUUCAGGAGUUGUAUGUUAUGAGGUAAAUAUUCAUUGCGAGCUAUAUCUCAUAAAGUUAGUUGUAUUUCACACAUUUGGAAAUUAAUUAUGUCAUUUCCAUGAUUUAGGAGGAGCCGUGAACGUGAGUCAAGCCACUGACGUCGACAAUAGUCGAGCUUGACCAUCAUCGUUGUGAGUGGAAUAUACUAAACUUGUCUUUUAUAUUUUUAUUAUGAUAUUAAUUUGAGUAAAAUAAAGUAUUUUUAAAUGUCCUAUUUAAGUUUUUCUAGAAAUAGAAAUUUUAUUUACAUGUUGAUAUGUUUGUUAAAGGUGUAUGUUGAUUGGUUUUCCAUUUUUUCUUACCUAUUUUGAUUAUAAAUUAAUGUGCGAGAGUAUUUUAAUGAAAAGGAAUAUAGAUUUAAAGUAUGUUGAAAAUGUUUAUAUACCUGUACAUAAAAGUUUAUUUUUCAAAAAUAUUAGACAGUGCCUUUCUCUCUAGAUACAAAGAUAAGUGUAGAGAUUCAAUUACAUACAUACAAUUGAGAUAGAGGCCCUUCAUCUGAGCACUAGGAUUUGGGCCAUGUGCGUGGAUGCUUCUGCUCUCUUGGGACUAAUUUAUGCUUGCAGUAUGACGAGAUGAGACAUAUAAGAUGGCACAUCAUUGGUCUACCCGUUAUAGCUUCGGGCAUGAUAGUACACUUUCAGUAUAUUAUUGCACUGCCCGUAGAAGGUUCAGGUAUGACAAGGUUAUUCCUCUAGGUAUUAGUUUCAUGAAAAUUUUAGAAUCAGGUAUCUAAUUAUAUUAUCUUUUGAUAUGAUUUUCAAAAUUAUUAAUUGUAGUAUCAUGUAUUCCUUUUUAAUGCUAAUUGCUUGAUUUAAAGAUUAAAUAGUUUACUUAUGUUCUUACAUAUAGCUCGAUGAAAUUGUAUAUUACAAUAAUAUAAUUAUUCUAAAAUAAGUUUACUUUCAAAACUUAUUAUCCACUCAAUGAACCACUUUAUUAUACUUUUCGCCCUCACAAGAGGUUGUAGGUACACCAGUCGACCGAGCGACUGUAGUUAUUUUGAGUUUUGGCCAUAUGAUAGUGUUAGGAGACAUAGGUGAUAUUAUUAAGGCAUUUUGAUCACCUC
rnacentral:lncRNA from 1 species